rnacentral:rRNA from 1 species
CUUACCAUGCAAGUCGAACGGUGAAGCCCUUCGGGGUGGAUCAGUGGCGAACGGGUGAGUAACACGUGGGCAAUCUGCCCUGCACUCUGGGACAAGCCCUGGAAACGGGGUCUAAUACCGGAUAUGACCAACUUCCGCAUGGUGGUUGGUGUAAAGCUCCGGCGGUGCAGGAUGAGCCCGCGGCCUAUCAGCUUGUUGGUGGGGUAAUGGCCUACCAAGGCGACGACGGGUAGCCGGCCUGAGAGGGCGACCGGCCACACUGGGACUGAGACACGGCCCAGACUCCUACGGGAGGCAGCAGUGGGGAAUAUUGCACAAUGGGCGAAAGCCUGAUGCAGCGACGCCGCGUGAGGGAUGACGGCCUUCGGGUUGUAAACCUCUUUCAGCAGGGAAGAAGCGCAAGUGACGGUACCUGCAGAAGAAGCACCGGCUAACUACGUGCCAGCAGCCGCGGUAAUACGUAGGGUGCGAGCGUUGUCCGGAAUUAUUGGGCGUAAAGAGCUCGUAGGCGGCCUGUCGCGUCGGAUGUGAAAGCCCGGGGCUUAACCCCGGGUCUGCAUUCGAUACGGGCAGGCUAGAGUGUGGUAGGGGAGAUCGGAAUUCCUGGUGUAGCGGUGAAAUGCGCAGAUAUCAGGAGGAACACCGGUGGCGAAGGCGGAUCUCUGGGCCAUUACUGACGCUGAGGAGCGAAAGCGUGGGGAGCGAACAGGAUUAGAUACCCUGGUAGUCCACGCCGUAAACGUUGGGAACUAUGUGUUGGCGACAUUCCACGUCGUCUGUGCCGCAGCUAACGCAUUAGUCCC